rnacentral:rRNA from 1 species
GACCACAAGAACGCGUGGAGCAUGUGGCUUAAUUUGACUCAACGCGGGAAAUCUUACCGGGUCCGGACACACUGAGGAUUGACAGGCAAUAUCUCAUGGUUAUUAACCGGUUAUUUAUUUAAUCGGUUAUUAAGCAUCAGUGUUAAAUAUGCUAGUCCUUUCAUGAUUAUGUGAUAGGUGGUGCAUGGCCGUUCUUAGUUCGUGGAGUGAUCUGUCUGCUUAAUUGCGUUUCACUAAGGGCCCAUAAAUUCAAGGUAUGUUAGCUAUCGUCGCUCUAUGGACCCCUUA